rnacentral:rRNA from 1 species
UGGGGGGGAGCUAAACAUGCAGUCGAGCGGCUGCACGGGAGUUUGCUCCUGGGUUCAGCGGCGGACGGGUGAGUAAUGCCUAGGAAUCUGCCUGGUAGCGGGGGAUAACUUCCGGAAACCGGCGCUAUACCGCAUACGCCCUGAGGGGAAAGUGGGGGAUCUUCGGACUUGCGCUUUGGAUGAGCCUAUGUCGGAUUAGCUAGUUGGUGGGGUAAAGGCUCACCAAGGCGACGAUCCGUAACUGGUUUGAGAGGAUGACCAGCCACACUGGGACUGAGACACGGCCCAGACUCCUACGGGAGGCAGCAGUGGGGAAUUUUGGACAAUGGGGGAAACCCUGAUCCAGCCAUCCCGCGUGUGUGAAGAAGGUCUUCGGAUUGUAAAGCACUUUUGGUUGGAAGGAAGGUCGCGGGUUAAUACCUUGCUGAACUGACGGUACCUGCAGAAUAAGCACCGGCUAACUUCGUGCCAGCAGCCGCGGUAAUACGAAGGGUGCAAGCGUUAAUCGGAAUUACUGGGCGUAAAGCGCGCGCAGGUGGUUCAGAAAGAAGGAUGUGAAAUCCCCGGGCUUCACUUUGGGAACUGCAUCCAAAACUACUGGCUAGAGUGCGUCAGAGGGAGGGGGGAAUUCCCUGUGUAGCGGUGAAAUGCGUAGAUAUGCGGAGGAACAC